CCAGCUCCAAUAGCGUAUAUUUAAGUUGUUGCAGUUAAAAAGCUCGUAGUUGGAUUUCGGGUGGGUUUCAGCGGUCCGCCUAUGGUGAGUACUGCUGUGGCCUAUCUUACUGUCGGGGACCUGCUUCUGGGCUUCAUUGUCCGGGACAGGGAUUCGGCAUGGUUACUUUGAGUAAAUUGGAGUGUUCAAAGCAGGCUUACGCCGUGAACAUUUUAGCAUGGAAUAACAUGAUAGGACUCUGCCCUAUUCUGUUGGCCUGUAGGAGUGGAGUAAUGAUUAAGAGGAACAGUCGGGGGCAUUCGUAUUUCAUUGUCAGAGGUGAAAUUCUUGGAUUUAUGAAAGACGAACUACUGCGAAAGCAUUUGCCAAGGAUGUUUUCA
rnacentral:rRNA from 1 species